GAAAAUCCGUCGACUUUAGA
rnacentral:tRNA from 1 species